AAGGGGAACUCCAAUCCUCUUUAUGCACUCACCUUUUCAGUGUGAGUGGUGAGUCGCAGUGUUGCUGAGAUACCUGGAUCUGAAGACACUCACCUGAGAUUGGACAUGUCGGUGGAAGCACAGCCAAGACAAUGGAGGAAAUGGACAUGACUACCUGAAAAUACCUUGUCUGCAAAGAAAAGGCUGCCAGUGGAGAUUAGAUGAAAACUAUAGGAACUUGCGGUGCGUAAAAACCCUUCAUUCUGUGCUUGCAUCUAUCUUUUGUAAGUCACCUUGAAGCCUUCUUCUUCUUUAAGUUCUUUCAUUAUUUUUAAUAUUUAUUUUGUUUUGUCACCAUUUGACUAAAGCUAUCAGCUAAAAUGGGUUGCUCUCCAUCGAAGGGUAAACUUUUCACUGGGGCUUUCAGCCCCAAACAAAAGGCUCUACCGGCACCACCUGAAAAUGCUAAUGAAAGUGCCACUAUCGCUGAGAUCAGUAAUCAGUGUGUAAUGGACAAAUCUGCUGCUGAUUGUGGUUCUGGAAAAGAUGAGCAGGAGGAGCCUAUUGUCUCUCAAGAGAAAAGAUCUUCUCUAGCUGAGGUGGUCUUUGAUACCACCUCAGUGAUUGAAGAUGGCGUACAGAAAAUAGAUGUAAAUAUAGUGGCCCAAGAGGAGUUAUCACUGGUGGAAGAACAGCCUCAAGGUAAGCCACCACGAGAGAAAUGUGAAAGAAGAAAGAAAUCCAAGGGAGGAAAGAAAGUAAGGCCAAAGGAUAAGAUUAAAAAGAACUCCCUCAUCCAGGCAAAAAUCGAGCUUCCUGAAGACAUGGUGAAAGCCCACCAGGCAGCCUAUGCUUACCUGAACCCCAAUAUCUCCAAAUACGAGACCUUGCUGGGACUCCUGGACCAAGCAGCCCAAACUCAACACUCCCUUCAGUCAAUGGUGACCAUGGUGGCAAUGCGGUACGAUGAGAUCAACCAAACUUUAGAAGAGAUGGCCAAGGAGGGCGAGAGAAUGCUCAAGGAGCAUGGAGACCACAUGGCUUGGCCUGCGGCCCUGAUGAACACCCCGCUGGUCCCUGCUGUGAAGCCAAGCGUGGAGGACCAGGGCUGCCCUGACCCACCCCCCGACCUUCUUCAACAGCUUCUCCAGCACUCCACCGAGAAGAUGCGUCAGGUGGGGGAGUCUGUAACGGGCCUGGGCGACUCUGCCCUUGAGGAGGCCACAGAGUAUUUUGCCUCACUCUCUGGGCUUUUAGGGGAGAAGUUGAUGGCAAAAAGGGCUGCUGAGUGUCGCCUGAAGCAGGUACUGACCUGCGUUGAGGCAGCUGCUGUGCGCAAGCUUGGUUUGGAAGAUUCCGCCUUGCACAGUGAGGACAGUGGUAUUGGUGGGGAGAAUGAGAGCCUCCCAGGGUCAGAACGGCACCGCAAGCACAGAGAGAGCUGUGCAUCAUCCACUGUAGCACACGGCAUACUUCUACCACAUGGUGAAGAUGAGGAAGAAGAUGAGGAGGAGGAGGAGGAUGACGAAGAUGAUGAUGAAGACGUAGAAGAUGAGGAGACGGCGAAAGAGCAUACAGAUACAGUUGUAAGAACAGAUAGGAGGUCCUCUAACUCCUCUUUACUAGCUCACAAUCAAAAGGCCAACCUCAAUGCACCCAAACAAAAUCCCACCAAAGAACAAAAGCAGACAACACGCCCCAAAACAGCUGACAAUGCCAAACCAAGACAUAGGCGUGGUCAGUUGAGAGGCCCACGUCGUUCCUGCUCUUUGGACAACCUAUACCAGAACUCUUCUUUAGCUGAACCAAAUGUGAAUCAGAAAGGUUUCAUCAAGAGGCAGGAGAGGAUUGGAAGAGGUAUGGAGGGUGUGCGAGGGGCUGCUGGAGUGAGCUCAUUAAAGGCAAAAUUGAGAAGACACUCAUCAGGGGGACAGAGUAUUGAGAGAGGCCCCAUCAGGGCCGGUGGCCCAUCCACAGCACUCCCUAUGUUGGCCCCAGUACCUCCAGGUCGCAAUGCAGUCAAGAGACUAAUCACAACUUUCAGUCAUGGAGUGAAUGACAAACCAUCUGUCCCUCCCCAUGUGAAAAUAAACAGGAAAUGCCAUUUCCCAAUGAUCUCCAACGCACAGACAAGUUUUGAUGGUCCCAGCAACAAAAACAAUGGGGUACACCAUAGACACCCUGACAGGCAUGAUGAUUUAGAUGUAGACAGCCUUCCUCCACCUCCCCCAGAGGUACUGAUGGACAACUCCUUUGAGGUCACAAAAGGCCUUCUAGGUCAAACAGCGAGCCAGAAAACCAGUGUGUCCCAAAAACUGAGGGCAUCUGUACAGUCCAUGACUGUGUUGCCAAAUCGGGGAAGCAUCCAUCAAGGCUCCCUAAGCCUGUCGCCAGCCUGUCUCAAUAAAACAGAUGCUGUGGAGGAUCAGCUAGAGGAUCCAGAUGAGGAGGCUGAGACACUUUACCGCCAGGCCCGAAAGAUCAUCCACUUACGUGACGCCGCAUGCUCUCCAGCUAACAGAUGCAAGGAUGGCAUGUGGAGUACGUCUGGUGCUCCAGCUGGGCUUGGGUCAAGACAAGGAAGCAGUGACUAUGGGGGUGAUGGUGAUACUUUAAGCCCACAGCUCAACACCUGCCCACCAACAACACCUCCUGUGUCAAGGACCCGGUUGCCACCAUCUUGCCCCUCGGUGUGUCGCACUUUCCCUGCGCCCUCAUCCUGCCCCUCUGAGGGUCAGUGGCGGGCACCAUCACCCCCUGCCUCAAACACUCCGAGGUGGACAAGGGGGAACAGCAACAGUGAUGAAAACUUCCCUGUCUUGACUGCUGUGGCAUUUGCAAGUGCUCGCUCCGUCUUCUGUCAAGACCAGACAACCAGGACACCAUCCUGCACUUCCACCCUGCCUCGACCCUGGGGAGAGACCUCACGUGGGAGACUACCCAUCAACCACGGUGGCCUGCAGGGCUUCGCCCGACGCAGCUCCUCAGAACAGAGAGCACCCAGCUCCCGUCAGACUGAGCAGACCCCAACUUCCGAGGACCCAGCUGAAUCCAGUGCCACCAAAGAAGAAUAGGCUUUGGGUGAGCAUGAUGAUUUCACCACAACAUGGGCCUUAUCCUCUGUUGAAGUCCAGAGCCUUGAAUUGACACCAACUGGUUUGUGUUAGAUCUACUUAGAAAGAUCUAUCCCGAGAGGGCCAAUUGGUUGGAAGCUAACUGAUUGACAGGAGCAGUGCUGGGAGAUGUCCAAUGAGAUUUUUGCAUGGUGGUUCCCUAAGUGUACCUGGAGCAAUGGUAACCAAGGUUUACGAAGCACUGUAGAUGAUGAAGAGGUGGAGCUAGUGCACAUUAUGGAUUAAAGGGUUUUCGGAUUAAGACUCUUGCUCUUCUCGAACAACUUCAUAGGAUCUGACACUGUGUAUGCCAGUGUGUUGUGUAACAUUUCCCCAUAUAUCACCAUCUUUAUUUAGAAAUGUUUACUCAGAAUUGUGUCUUUGUUUGCUGUUGUUAGACGUUGACUUUUGUGUCUUAUUUGGGAUGUUUGUAUCCAAUAUUUUUUUUAAUGUUUUAUAACUCAUUGUAGUUGUAAAACCCAGACAAAAAAUGCCAAAUAUGUUUAUCAAUAAUACAACUUAAUAGUGUAAACAUUUCAUAUGAAACAUAUUUAUCAAGUGUGAAGAGAACAACUACAGUCUCCACAAGAGAUUUAACAACUAUCUAGUAUUCAAGCGAACACUAUUAUGUUCGUUCUGUCUGAGAAAAGAAGAAAAAACUAAUAAUGAAAAAUAUAAUCUAUAAAAGUUCAACAAAACAGUGUAUCAUUCUGAGAAUUUCAUGAUUAAUUUUGCUUGUAUUUGUACCAUUUGGUUUUGGCAUGUCAUGACCAUUUUUGCAUUUCUAGUCUUCAUGUUGGUGUUUGCUUUGAGUUUGUUUUAUACACGUUCUCAAUAAUAAUUUAUCCUAAUCAGAACAGGUUUCC